ACUCAACAAGAAUUAAUUAAAAAGGGUGAGUUUAAGUUGUAAAAGCGCGCCGCCUUGAGCGGAUUCUUGAGCAGCUUGUUAGCCCUAAACCUGUUUUUACAGAGUUU
rfam:Aquimarina sp. RZW4-3-2 contig14, whole genome shotgun sequence.